CUUUCUCAGUGGCUGUUCCUUUCAGCAGGUUCUUCCCCGGCAACGCUGCACUCUUUAAGGAAUUAUUCGUCAAGAGGCCCAUUUGUGGCAGCGAGAAACCUUAAAACUACCACUAACUAAGUCCUAGUGGUCACAGAGGCAGGCGUUAAUCCCGUAUAUAAGCGAGAGAGCAGAGAGGGAGAGAAAAUAGCAGGGAGGAGGCGCACUGAGCAGACGGCCGCACCAAACCCCACCCCAUUUGGCUUUGGGAUUUUGUGUGGAGGAAAUAAGCCCAAAAUUGAGAAAAUUCCCCGAUUAAACGCCGCUUCCCCUUCGUGGCGAAAGGCGGGCUGAAAGAGGAGAGGAAGGAGGUGAAAUUAGUCCCGAAGUUGGAGUGAAAGGAAGUCAAAAUUGGUAAUAAUAUUAGUUGAUCAGCAAACAUGGCGUGCUGUUUAAGCGAAGAAGCCAAGGAACAGAAGAGGAUAAAUCAAGAAAUAGAACGACAAUUAAGGAAAGAUAAGAGAGAUGCCAGAAGAGAACUCAAACUACUGUUAUUGGGCACAGGAGAAUCUGGCAAAUCUACCUUCAUCAAGCAGAUGCGUAUUAUCCACGGUGCAGGUUACAGCGAUGAUGACAAACGAGGGUUCAUCAAGCUGGUCUUCCAGAACAUCUUCAUGGCCAUGCAGUCAAUGAUCAGGGCCAUGGACCUUCUUCAAAUAUCUUAUGGAGACUCUGCAAACAGUGAACAUGCAGAUCUGGUGCGAGCGGUGGACUACGAGUCAGUCACAACGUUUGAGGAGCCCUAUGUAACUGCCAUGAAAAGCUUAUGGGCUGACACCGGCAUUCAACACUGCUAUGAUCGUCGCAGAGAGUACCAGCUCACAGAUUCAGCAAAAUAUUAUCUUGAUGAUUUGGAGCGUAUCAUAUCAUCGGACUUCUUACCGACCGAGCAGGAUAUUCUUAGGGCUCGAGUACCAACCACUGGAAUCAUUGAGUACCCCUUUGAUCUGGACUCAAUCAUCUUUAGAAUGGUAGAUGUCGGUGGUCAGCGAUCUGAGCGACGGAAGUGGAUUCAUUGCUUCGAGAACGUCACCUCCAUCAUUUUCCUGGUCGCACUUUCCGAGUAUGAUCAGAUCUUGUUUGAGUCUGACAAUGAGAACCGAAUGGAAGAAUCAAAGGCCCUGUUCAAGACCAUUAUCACAUACCCCUGGUUCCAGCACUCGUCUGUUAUUCUCUUCCUUAACAAGAAGGAUCUUUUGGAGGAGAAGAUCAUGUACUCACAUCUUGUGGACUAUUUCCCAGAAUAUGAUGGACCAAAAGAGGACCAUGUUGCAGCUCGUGAAUACGUUCUGAAGAUGUACCUUGCCCAAAACCCAGAUCCCGACCGAAUGUGUUAUUCUCACUUUACUUGUGCCACAGACACAGAGAAUAUCAAAUUGGUGUUCUGUGCUGUAAAGGAUACCAUUAUGCAGAAUGCUCUUAAGGAGUACAACCUCGCCUAAAGUUCCUCCUCUUACUUCUCUUGUGUUCCGUCUGUUCAUCUACACUUACAAGACACUGAGAACAUAAGGUUCGUCUUCGCUGCCGUCAAAGACACAAUCCUGCAGCUAAAUCUAAAGGAAUACAAUCUGGUGUAACGUAGAGCUGUGCCCAACUCUGGCCGAAAGUGUACCCAAGGUGAAGUGACAGCAUACCCCCCUACUCUUGUGAGGGGCUGUCGGUUGAGGCCUCACUUCAUCACCCUAACAUGGACACUAAACUAUGAAGGCAGUCAUAUUUUGCAUUUUUAAAACCCAUAUUCAGUGUCCCAAAGAAAUAAAGGCUCUAUGCUUUAUUUUUCUUUCUUUUUUCUUUUCUUUUUUUUCUCAGUUUCCAAAGAUUUGUGUGAGCCUUCAGUUCCCUUCCAAGUCAAGCCAUCCUGUUUGGGACAGCUUCAGCUAUUUGCAGACAGCCUAAAUUGAGGAUGUUUUGAUGCCAAGGGGCUUGACACCUUCAAUUAUGUAGUUCCAAUUUAUGUAAUGUACGCCAUUUCCAAGUCCUCAGUUGCGUACAAUGUCUGUUAACCCAAAGUCUCACACCCGGAAGGGGCGGAUUAACUAGUCCAAAGCCAUGACUGGUUCCAUUUUUGACUGUUGCCAUGUUGCCAAAAGGACCGCCCCUACCCAUGUCCCGUGCUCAUUACCAACGCUGCCAACGAGCUUAGUGCUCUCUGGUCGUAAUGGUGCUCCCUAAGCCCUGAUUCACGCGUGUGGAUGUGUGUGUGUCGCUUAAGCCACACUCAGCCGCUGCUACAUGUGCGUAACUUGGAGCUAAUGUUAGUGUGUACACUGAUAAACAUCAUGGGCUGACACACUCCACAUCUAACGAAGUAUUGCUCCAGCCUCGUUUUCUUGCCUUUGCGGGAAAGUUUGCUUGCCUUGCAGGUGAUUGUUAGGAUGUUUUGUGUUGGUGGCUUUUGUAUAUUACACAUAUAUAAACAUUAUGUGGUCUAACGUUUCAUCUUUAGUGUGUGAUAAUAUGUAGUUGAUCAUGAGAGGAGCUAUCCAUUAUGUAUAGGCCUGCAAAGUUUCCUGGGGGUUAAGGAAGAAAGAAGUGCUUGCUACUGAGACUUUUAUGCACCUCCAAAGUAAUGCAUCUGGACCACAAGUAAGUAGAGCACAGAAAACUACUUGAAGAUGCAACAGCCAAAUGCAGUGAGUCUUAUGGCGUCCAGAGUGUGAGAAAAGAGAAAGAGUCAACAGAACAACAGAGAAGGAACAACAGAAGAAGAAGCAGUUUUAAAUUCUGAUUUCUGAGAGUGAUACUUAGAAAUGUUAAGCAUUGAGUACUUUGCUGCCACUUACCUUAGGUUGGUACAAAUCUGAAUAAAUCAGGUACCACGUAUGAGUAGCUGCUGUAAGAUUUGGAAAUGUAUCUACCUAUGAGGGCAUCAGUGCUUGUGAUAUAUUGGUGGUAGCGAGUAUGGCUUUAAAAUGUCUCCUUAGAUAGCCAGAUCUCCUCUGCCUGGUGAAAGGCAAAGCCAGGUACCAACACUACCUACCAAGUGACACAGAAGCUUAUUGGUGAGGUGCUACAGACUGUAGGCUCUUAAUAUCUACUCUUGCGUCAAAAAGUGCAAUUCAAAGAUAGCUGACUCGGAGCUGAGACUUAAGACUCUUGUGGCUUAUGCGAAAGUGAACCUAGAAUGGUAUUUUUGAGUAUCACUAGCCAUUUACUGAUAAUCAUGCUUGUAUGUGACGUGUGUUCAAUGCAACCUGGGCACAAGGGUGUGCCUGCAAACGUGUCCAGCACUGUCCCCGAUGAUAGGAUGUUGAUUUAUGAUAAUGAGUGUGAUAAUGGUGAUGAUUGUUGAAUGAUGAUGAUUGUAGACGGAAGCACUAGUCAGUAUGGGCGCGGGUAAACACAAUUGCCCACUGCUCAUGUUACUUGUAUAUAUGUGUCUGUAAUAAUAACUAUUAGGUGUAUGGGUGCGGGGUAACCUGGUGAACCCCCAUGGAUUGCCAAUAGAGAAGGUAGCGAAUGAACGGAUGCUGAGAGUAAAUGAACAGACCACGGACAAAGACGUUCCAAAAGCUUGGCGCACCCUAGCGAAAGGGCUGUGUGCUAAUUCUAGUCUCUGGUGCCAUCAGGUGUUUCUUACUAGACAAGCCCAUUCAAUUUUGGGCUGGUCUGAACCUGGCCAUUCUGGCAGACAAACUCGGAUCAGCUGGUGAGGGAGAAAAAACCCGUAGUUGACAGCUGAGCAGAGCAGGCAAAGUGGCUCAUGAUGAAAGCUUUGCCUGCAGCGUAGACUUAGCUCAAUCCCCAGCCAUGUGAGGUACGCAUGGCACGUGUGCUUCUGCUUGCAGGUUCUGCCAUGUUUGUUGGGCUGCUUGUAUAAUUAGUAGAGAGACUAAUGGAAUUACACACAGCCCUGGAAAUGAGCCUUGACCUUCCAAUCGUUUGUACACUUGUUGUUAUAUUCUUAACUUCAGGUUGCAUUUUGUCUAUUGUUUGUAGUAUGUACAGACCAAGUAAGGUAUUAUUUUUAUUCAUUAUCAUUACUUUUAUGGAAAGAAUGUGUUGACAAGUAAUUACCAAUCAUGUGUAUUCAAAAAGACUUGUACUAAGGUUAAAAAAUUGAAAACCCCAUAUGUACCAAAGUAUAACUUGAUUUUAUUUUUGAAGUGGCCGACAUGUAGCAUGCAGUAGUAGUGGGCGGAGGAGGCAACCACAUAGCCACCCCGCUAACCCGCCCCGGUAUUUAGCACUGCCUACUGCUCCACCCACCCUGGGUCCUCCCCCGGCCCUGGGGGGCAUGGAAGCAUUGGCACCGGGGCAGGUGUAGCUUGGGGGGGCCAAGGCCCCAGUCUCCCCCCUGCAGGACCCUGGCCCCUCCCUGGCAUGUUGUCGCAAGAUGUAACCACCAGAGAUGAACUAAACCUUUCUAAUGGCUGCACCUUGCCCUGCCUCCUUCCUGGUGCCUAGCCAGUCACAACAGCGGUGUUUGGCUAAGUACUAGUGUGUGGGCAGCAAAAGGUCAACAAUACACCUGCUGCCCACAUUUCCACCCAUCCUCUGCAGUGCUUCAACCACACCAACUCGGUCCACUACUGUACUAUUCAUUAAGCUUCAGACCGAAAGAAUAAAGAGGGAUUUGUGUUUUAAGAAUAAAUAUUUAUUGAAACAA